CCUUUGAUAGCUCAGCUGGUAGAGCAGAGGACUGUAGAGGUUUGUAGCUACUGUUAUCCUUAGGUCGGUGGUUCGAUUCCGCCUCGAAGAA
rnacentral:tRNA from 1 species